rnacentral:sRNA from 1 species
UAAAACCCUAAUUAAACACAACACCAUCAAUCAUCAUAUAUAGAAUAGAGAUGGAUUUUUGGAUUGAUAGAAACAAAUGAAAAGGUAAAAAAGAUGGAUAUUUGGAUUGAUAGAAAGAAUGAAAAGGUAAAAAGGAGACGAAAGAUUAUAUAUGGAAUAGAGAGAAAAGAGUAAAGAGAAGAAGAAGAAGAAACAAAUCAAAAAUUUUGUUUUUGUUGAAUUGAGAGAAAAAUAAAUUGAAGAUGAAAAAAAAUUGAUCUGAGAAAUUAGAUUUUU